rnacentral:rRNA from 1 species
ACGAACGCUGGCGGCGUGGAUAAGACAUGCAAGUCGAACGAGAGAAUUGCUAGCUUGCUAAUAAUUCUCUAGUGGCGCACGGGUGAGUAACACGUGAGUAACCUGCCCCCGAGAGCGGGAUAGCCCUGGGAAACUGGGAUUAAUACCGCAUAGUAUCGAAAGAUUAAAGCAGCAAUGCGCUUGGGGAUGGGCUCGCGGCCUAUUAGUUAGUUGGUGAGGUAACGGCUCACCAAGGCGAUGACGGGUAGCCGGUCUGAGAGGAUGUCCGGCCACACUGGAACUGAGACACGGUCCAGACACCUACGGGUGGCAGCAGUCGAGAAUCAUUCACAAUGGGGGAAACCCUGAUGGUGUGACGCCGCGUGGGGGAAUGAAGGUCUUCGGAUUGUAAACCCCUGUCAUGUGGGAGCAAAUUAAAAAGAUAGUGCCACAAGAGGAAGAGACGGCUAACUCUGUGCCAGCAGCCGCGGUAAUACAGAGGUCUCAAGCGUUGUUCGGAAUCACUGGGCGUAAAGCGUGCGUAGGCUGUUUCGUAAGUCGUGUGUGAAAGGCGCGGGCUCAACCCGCGGACGGCACAUGAUACUGCGAGACUAGAGUAAUGGAGGGGGAACCGGAAUUCUCGGUGUAGCAGUGAAAUGCGUAGAUAUCGAGAGGAACACUCGUGGCGAAGGCGGGUUCCUGGACAUUAACUGACGCUGAGGCACGAAGGCCAGGGGAGCGAAAGGGAUUAGAUACCCCUGUAGUCCUGGCAGUAAACGGUGCACGCUUGGUGUGCGGGGAAUCGACCCCCUGCGUGCCGGAGCUAACGCGUUAAGCGUGCCGCCUGGGGAGUACGGUCGCAAGAUUAAAACUCAAAGAAAUUGACGGGGACCCGCACAAGCGGUGGAGUAUGUGGCUUAAUUCGAUGCAACGCGAAGAACCUUACCUGGGCUUGACAUGUAAUGAACAACAUGUGAAAGCAUGCGACUCUUCGGAGGCGUUACACAGGUGCUGCAUGGCCGUCGUCAGCUCGUGUCGUGAGAUGUUUGGUUAAGUCCAGCAACGAGCGCAACCCCUGUUGCCAGUUACCAGCACGUGAAGGUGGGGACUCUGGCGAGACUGCCCAGAUCAACUGGGAGGAAGGUGGGGACGACGUCAGAUCAGUAUGGCCCUUAUGCCCAGGGCUGCACACGUACUACAAUGCCCAGUACAGAGGGGGCCGAAGCCGCGAGGCGGAGGAAAUCCUGAAAACUGGGCCCAGUUCGGACUGUAGGCUGCAACCCGCCUACACGAAGCCGGAAUCGCUAGUAAUGGCGCAUCAGCUACGGCGCCGUGAAUACGUUCCCGGGUCUUGUACACACCGCCCGUCACAUCAUGGAAGCCGGUCGCACCCGAAGUAUCUGAAGCCAACCGCAAGGAGGCAGGGUCCUAAGGUGAGACUGGUAACUGGGAUG